rnacentral:misc_RNA from 1 species
GCAAAAUGCUAUCUGCCUCUUCUCCUCUUACUCUUCCGCCCCUUCCGGCACGAUCCUCUCCCCGGGAAUUUACACGUGUCAGAUUCCGGCCACUGCAGGCCUUCUCCUCCACCGCCACUGCUUCUUCCACUGCUUACGCCUCCAGAGAGGACACCGCCUCGCCGUAUCUCAACCUUCAAAGAAUGUCUUCUUGCACUUCGCUUUACGAGGUCCUUGGAAUCCCUACUGGAGCUUCUUUUCAGGAGAUCAAAUCCGCCUACCGACGUCUUGCCAGAGUUUGCCACCCGGACGUG